CCAUUUGCACUCGCUGGAGCAACUGAGAACAAAUCUGCUCCAUCUUCUGCAACAAAUAGCUAAAGAAUGCUAGUAUGUCUCUCCUUAAUCUUCUCUCCUCCAGGACAAACAUACCCAGAUCUUUCAA